AUUGAACGCUGGCGGCAUGCUUUACACAUGCAAGUCGAACGGUAACAGGCCGCAAGGUGCUGACGAGUGGCGAACGGGUGAGUAAUGCAUCGGAACGUGCCCAGUCGUGGGGGAUAACUACUCGAAGGAGUAGCUAAUACCGCAUACGAUCUAUGGAUGAAAGCGGGGGACCGUAAGGCCUCGCGCGAUUGGAGCGGCCGAUGUCAGAUUAGGUAGUUGGUGGGGUAAAGGCUCACCAAGCCAACGAUCUGUAGCUGGUCUGAGAGGACGACCAGCCACACUGGGACUGAGACACGGCCCAGACUCCUACGGGAGGCAGCAGUGGGGAAUUUUGGACAAUGGGCGCAAGCCUGAUCCAGCAAUGCCGCGUGCAGGAAGAGGGCCUUCGGGUUGUAAACUGCUUUUGUACGGAACGAAACGGCUCUGGUUAAUACCCGGGGCUAAUGACGGUACCGUAAGAAUAAGCACCGGCUAACUACGUG
rnacentral:rRNA from 1 species